rnacentral:misc_RNA from 1 species
UGGGUUUGACAUAUGCCGGAAACACCUAUCUCUAGGUGUUUCCGGCAUAUGUCAAACCCAGGUAAGGUUCUUCGCGUUGCAUCGAAUUAAUCCGCAUGCUCCGCCGCUUGUGCGGGCCCCCGUCAAUUCCUUUGAGUUUUAGCCUUGCGGCCGUACUCCCCAGGCGGGGCGCUUAAUGCGUUAGCUGCGGCACGGAACUCGUGGAAUGAGCCCCACACCUAGCGCCCAACGUUUACGGUGUGGACUAC